rnacentral:rRNA from 1 species
UACGGAGGGUGUAAGCGUUAUCCGGAUUUACUGGGUUUAAAGGGUGCGUAGGCGGAUUUGUAAGUCCGAGGUGAAAUCUCCGAGCUUAACUCGGAAACUGCCUUGGAUACUAUAAGUCUUGAAUGACGUUGAGGUUAGCGGAAUAUGUCAUGUAGCGGCGAAAUGCGUAGAUAUGACAUAGAACAUCGAGUGCGAAGGCAGCUAACUAAGCGUAUAGUGACGCUGAUGCACGAAAGCGUGGGGAUCAAACAGG